AUGAACACACAAACAAUAGAAACUAUUACAAAAUUUGUAAUGGUUUUAAUGGUUAUAAUGGGAAUUAUGUUGGUUGUAAUGGUCACAGUAAUGGUCCCUGUGGGUCUCUAUUGGUAAAUUGCUUUUUUCUAUUGGUGGUAUGUAUUGUCUUGGAUUGCCACCAUACGUCAUUUGGAAAGGUUAUUUUUAAUUCAUUUAAUUUUUUUUUUUUUUUUUUUUUUUAAAUCAACUCGACUCGUCAUGGCCUUCAAAAUUGACUUGAAAAGUUGGUCUUUGUUUUGUCUGUCGGAUUUGGUCCAAAUUUAGCCCAAAAAUAGAUGUGAAAUAACAGUGAAAUUCUGCGUGACUUCCACGUGCUGUAAUGUGCGCGCGCGCAGAACUGGAGCGGAGGACGUCACCAUGGAAACGAGGCGGCAGCCCAACCGUCAAGCAGCUGAUCGCUGACACUCAAUGUGGUUUCACUUUUUUUUUUUAGAAAUGGUUUAGCGUCGUCAGAAAAAGUCCGUUAGCAUCUCAAAGAAGUGCCAGAAAAAAACCUCUAUGACGCAGGAGAAGUUCCUGAUUUUAACAUUUCUGAAGGGGGCUGCUGACAGAGAGGAUGAAAACAUACACAUUUUGAUGUCCACGCUGUAGGAGCAUUACUAAAUAAUGCUUAUGUUCCUAGGUUCUUCCAUGCUGAUGGCUGUGCUCUAGAGUCAUAUCUCCUGUCGAAGAACAUUUUUAGACAUUAUGAACCAUGAAUAAGUUUAGCUCCAACCCCAGUUAAGCAGACCUGAGCAGCUGAUCAAGGAUCAGCAGAAACUCUGCAGAACGGUGGUCCUCCAGCCCAGGACUGGACACCAGUGUUAGUGUCUGUCUCAGAAGCUGAAGAAAAAAGGUCACACCUUAUAGGAAAUAAACGCCUCCUAAGUGUAUGGAAAUACCUGGCUGAGGAGAUCAGUGACAUAAACCAGAUAAAACUGUCAGUGGUCUGAGACAGCUACAAGCCACAAAAACAGUUCAUAGUUCCUGCAUUUCUAUAAUGCAUUAAUGAAUAACAAUAAUUAAAAUAAAAUGUAAUGUCAAGGUUUUGUGUUAAUUCCAGCUAUGUUGAGUAUUCUGUGAAUAAUUUUGAUUUUAGGUGCAUAUUCUUAAUUCUUUGCAAAACAACCUGAACUGUUUGCUAUUGAAAGGUUGGUAUGAAGUUUAAAUAAAUAAAAACAUUAUAUUCUUGACAAAACCUGUGUACAGUUUGUAUUAAUAAUUUAAAUUAUUUACUUAUAUUAAUUAAUGGCCUAAUUACCAGCUAUCAGUUAAACAUUCAAAUCAGAACCAAUAUAAAACUGCAACGAAAACUAUUAAAUAUAUGCAAAUAAAGACCAGUACAAACUUGCAAUGGAACCAUCAGAACCAUUACAAAACCAACGGAAACCAUUAAAUUUGUUUUAAUAAAGACCAAUACAAACUUGUAAUGGAACCAUCAGAACCAUUACAAAACCAACAGAAACCAUUAAAUUUGUUUUAAUAAAGACCAAUACAAACUUGUAAUGGAACAAUCAAAACCAUUACAAAACCAACAGAAACCAUUAAAUUUGUUUUAAUAAAGACCAAUACAAACUUGUAAUGGAACCAUCAGAACCAUUACAAAACCAACAGAAACCA